AAUAAGUACAGCCAUAGUUUUCCGCGCCCAAUUUUGACCAUUCGUCUUAUUUGAAAUUUUUUUAAAAAAAAUUAAAAACAUAAGUCACAAGUAAAGUACUAUUCAUGUUUUAUCAUCUUAUAACAACAAAAAUGCUAAUUAUAAAAGAAUUUCGAAUAAGACGAACGAUCAAAGUUGGACGCGAAAACUCAUGGCUGCACUUAUU
rnacentral:pre_miRNA from 1 species